rnacentral:rRNA from 1 species
AGCGGGAAAAGCUCAAAUUUAAAAUCUGGCAGAUGCUUGUCUGUCCGAGUUGUAACCUAGAGAAGUGUAGCCUGUGCUGGACCGUGUACAAGUCUCCUGGAAUGGAGCAUCAUAGAGGGUGAGAAUCCCGUCUUUGACAUGGACUACCAGUGCACUGUGGUUGCACACUCAACGAGUCGAGUUGUUUGGGAAUGCAGCUCUAAAUGGGUGGUAAAUUCCAUCUAAAGCUAAAUAUUGGCGAGAGACCGAUAGCGAACAAGUACCGUGAGGGAAAGAUGAAAAGAACUUUGGAAAGAGAGUUAAACAGUAUGUGAAAUUGUUGAAAGGGAAACACUUGAAGUCAGCUGCAUUGGCUGGGGAUCAAGCCAGCUUAUUUGCUGGGUGUACUUCCUGGUUGAUGGGCCAACAUCAGUUUUGACCAUCAGAGAAAGGCAAAGGGAAUGUGGCACCUUUAUAGGUGUGUUAUAGCCCUUGGUUGUAUGUGGUGGUUGGGACUGAAGA